UUUGAUCCUGGCUCAGAUUGAACGCUGGCGGCAUGCUUUACACAUGCAAGUCGAACGGCAGCACUGGGGCAACCCUGGUGGCGAGUGGCGAACGGGUGAGGAAUACAUCGGAACGUGUCUUUAAGUGGGGGAUAACGCAUCGAAAGGUGUGCUAAUACCGCAUAAUCUCUGAGGAGAAAAGCAGGGGAUCGCAAGACCUUGCGCUUUUGGAGCGGCCGAUGCCUGAUUAGCUUGUUGGUAAGGUAAAAGCUUACCAAGGCUUCGAUCAGUAGCUGGUCUGAGAGGACGACCAGCCACACUGGGACUGAGACACGGCCCAGACUCCUACGGGAGGCAGCAGUGGGGAAUUUUGGACAAUGGGGGCAACCCUGAUCCAGCCAUGCCGCGUGAGUGAAGAAGGCCUUCGGGUUGUAAAGCUCUUUCAGCCGGAACGAAACGGUUACGGUUAAUACCCGUGACUAAUGACGGUACCGGAAGAAGAAGCACCGGCUAACUACGUGCCAGCAGCCGCGGUAAUA
rnacentral:rRNA from 1 species